CUUUCAGCUGAACCAUUUCUUUUGCUUAUGUUCUCUAAUGAUUUAGAUCUUAAUACAAUUAUCUGUUCUGUGCAGUGGAAAUGGUAAGAAGGCAAGCUUUAUUUCUAGGUGACUCAGAGCUGCAGCAACUACUUCACAUCUUCAGGGAAAGAAAAAACUGGAAAAGGAUUGUAAUAGUUCUUGUCAAGCAUGGUGGGAGAGGUCUUGCCAAGCAAUCUUCUACAUUCUAAUGGAAACUCAACGCAUCACCGGUAUUUACCUUUGCGAACCAAGCAGGCCUUGACAUGCUAGAAACCACGUUCAUUGCUCUACACAAUAUUAUGUUCGACAAGAUUCUCGAUGAGGGCUGCCGGAAGGGUUUGUGUUCAGAGUUUGGCAAGAUUAUGCAACA